UGCCCAGCCCUAAACAUAGAUAAAAACCCACCCAUUUAUCCGCCUGGGAACUACGAGCGUCAGCUUAAAACCCAAAGGACUUGGCGGUGCUUUAGAUCCACCUAGAGGAGCCUGUUCUAGAACCGAUAAUCCCCGUUAAACCUCACCUCUUCUUGUCCUAUCCGCCUAUAUACCGCCGUCGUCAGCUUACUCUGUGAGGAAUUUGUAGUAAGCGUAACCGGCACAGCCUCAAACGCCAGGUCGAGGUGUAGCGAAUGGAGAGGGAAGAAAUGGGCUACAUUCAAUAACUUAUAAUGAAUACGAAUGAUAUUCUGAAAAAAAUAUCUGAAGGAGGAUUUAGUAGUAAGUAGAGAAUAGAGAGCCCUACUGAAAUUGGCCCUGAAGCGCGU
rnacentral:rRNA from 1 species